rnacentral:rRNA from 1 species
AUGGCGACGGCCGCGGUGGUCUCGCCGGUGGGCGGCGGCCUGGUCCACGACCACGUGACCUCAGCCGUCCCCGUAGGUGGUUGCCCGCGGCCUCCUCCGCUUCUUCGAGGAGCUCGGCAAGCGCUGCGCCCGCGAGCAGCUAGAUGUCUCGAGAUAGGAAUUGGACGGUAUCAAUCAUUAUUCUUGCCCAAGUCUAGGGGGAGAAGAUUGAUUCUGGCUGGUACCAUCACAUCUGAGGUGUCAAGUUCUGUAGGAGGAUCUUCUAUUGCAUCAAGAGAAGAUGCUAUCUUGUCACACUGGAAACUACGCAGCAAGCAUCUGAGGGGGAGUGUUGGUGUGAAGUUGACCACGUCGCAAACCACUUGA